ACAGCAGUAGCCGCGGGAAUACGGAGGGUGCAAGCGUUAUCCGGAUUUAUUGGGUUUAAAGGGUCCGUAGGCGGAUCUGUAAGUCAGUGGUGAAAUCUCACAGCUUAACUGUGAAACUGCCAUUGAUACUGCAGGUCUUGAGUAAAUUUGAAGUGGCUGGAAUAAGUAGUGUAGCGGUGAAAUGCAUAGAUAUUACUUAGAACAUCAAUUGCGAAGGCAGGUCACUAAGAUUUAACUGACGCUGAUGGACGAAAGCGUGGGGAGCGAACAGGAUUAGAUACCCCAGUAGUCCCUGUCUCUUAUAC
rnacentral:rRNA from 1 species